rnacentral:tRNA from 1 species
GUAUAGCUCACUGGUAGAGUGUGUGCCUCUCAUGCAUGAGGUCCUGGGUUUAAUCCCCAGCAC